GGGUGGUAAUGCCGGAUGCUCCAGUUGAUCGCAUGGUCUUCUGGGAAAGCUUUCGCGGUAUGGGAUGGGGUCGCGUCCUAUCAGCUUGACGGCGGGGUAACGGCCCACCGUGGCUUCGACGGGUAGCCGGCCUGAGAGGGCGACCGGCCACAUUGGGACUGAGAUACGGCCCAGACUCCUACGGGAGGCAGCAGUGGGGAAUAUUGCACAAUGGGCGCAAGCCUGAUGCAGCGACGCCGCGUGAGGGAUGGAGGCCUUCGGGUUGUAAACCUCUUUUGUUUGGGAGCAGGCCUUCGGGUGAGUGUACCUUUCGAAUAAGCGCCGGCUAACUACGUGCCAGCAGCCGCGGUAAUACGUAGGGCGCAAGCGUUAUCCGGAUUUAUUGGGCGUAAAGGGCUCGUAGGCGGCUCGUCGCGUCCGGUGUGAAAGUCCAUCGCUUAACGGUGGAUCUGCGCCGGGUACGGGCGGGCUGGAGUGCGGUAGGGGAGACUGGAAUUCCCGGUGUAACGGUGGA
rnacentral:rRNA from 1 species